UUUUUUGUCGUUGUGUAAUGAUUGAUAUCUGACUAGUGUAAGUAAAAAUGAAUAGAUUGGUCAUAAACGUGUUAUUAUGUUGGAUAAUAUUCUUCAGGAAUAUGGAAAAGACAGGUAUGACCACAAUUAGCAAUUCGUUAGAAUGCUCGCAGUUUCAUGCUGUCAUUAUAUGGGAUACAAACACGAAUGUGCAGGAAAUAAGUUUUAUGUAUCACAGGCGCUUUUUAUACGCAUUAAUAUCUAAAAUGCCGAAGGGUUCAUAUAUAGUUUUGAAAACAACCGGCGAUGUUAACACCGAGCUUGAUUUUAGAAAGGACUCAGGAUGGACAAACGCGUUGGAUGGAAUCACGUUUUCAUUUACCGAAGAAGCAAUUCCAUACUCACUGCUGAGAAAAACUGUUCAAAAUGCCCUUGGUCGACACGAAACUGUUGAUAUGGAUAUAUAACUGUUCUUAUUAGUAAAUGAUAUGUCACGUUUAGACAACGAGGAGAAAGCUUUGGAAGCUCUAAUGAUAGUAAACACAUUUGUUGUACUUACUGGGAAGAUAAAACCGCAAAAGAUUUGGACAGAUUUGGCCUCAGACGAAAAACACUUAUAUAAAAUUAUAACUGAUAACACAAAUGAUGAAAAAUUCGUUAACGAGACAAAAGACUUCCUGAAAUUGUCUUGUCAAACUAAGUGUUUAACAUAGUUUGUCAAAAAUAUACUAAAUACCACAUCUAAGGCAAAAGAGCAUAUGACGUUUAGAUAAAUCUACAUGGUUUCGGUAUUCAAAUAUCUAUAAUUUACAUGAGCACUGGUUUGAUAUACGCCAAUAUGGGGAACUUCUCGGACGUCUGAUUCAAGAUCGGAUUGUGGAAUAAGUAUGUAUCUGAACAAGAGCAGAUGUUACAAAUGUGUGUACAUUUGUGGACGGAUCAAGAACACUGUGAGUCAGUUCUGCCUGAAUACCUGCCCAAAUUUCGAUCGUCACCUUGAUAUGCCAAAAGAUUGCCACUGUGAUAUGUUAGAUUGUGAGAACAGUUGCACGGACCCGUUGUUAUUUCAGCUGUUAAUCGUGUUGUUCACCGUUAUAUUAUUGGUACUUGGUGUGCCUUUAUCGUUGAUGAUGUUCAAACACUUUGAACCAUAUAAGGCACACUCUGGUGAAAAUGAAAAUGCAUCGAAACAGAACCAGGGCCGGAUGACACAAAAUACCAUUCCAAUACAACGAAUUAAGAAACGGUAUAAAUCUGAGACAACUGUCGCAAAGUGCAAGCCAUAAUUGGAUUGAAUUAAUAUCUGAUCUACAUUUUACUUAUAUACAAAGUAUUUGUGUAUCAUGAUUUGGUAAUCAUUAUAUUAUUUGCUCCUAAUAGUUAUUCUUUAAUACAUUGUUCCCAAUACGUGUUUUAGAAAAUGACUCUAUCUCCUAUUGUUUGCUUCCGAUAUAUGUCCUAGAAAAUUACACCAUUCUUUUGCUCCCAUUGUUUAUGGCGGUAAAAUUUCCAUGUUUCAAUGAUUUUUACAUGUUAAUUUGGCGGCAAUAGUUAAUAUAUAUAUUGGAUGUAAAAUAAAAGGAAGAAAGUGG